GACGAACGCUGGCGACGUGCUUAACACAUGCAAGUCGAGCGGAAAGGCCCUUUCGGGGGUACUCGAGCGGCGAACGGGUGAGUAACACGUGAGUAAUCUGCCCCUGGCUUUGGGAUAGCCACCGGAAACGGUGAUUAAUACCGGAUACGACCACUUUUCGCCUGGGAUGGUGGUGGAAAGUUUUUCGGCCAGGGAUGUGCUCGCGGCCUAUCAGCUUGAUGGUGAGGUAAUGGCUCACCAUGGCUUCGACGGGUAGCCGGCCAGAGUGGGUGACCGGUCACACUGGGACUGAGACACGGCCCAGCCUCCGACGGGAGGCAGCAGUGGGGGAUAUUGGACAAUGGGCGGAAGCCUGAUCCAGCAACGCCGCGUGAGGGAUGACGGCCUUCGGGUUGUAAACCUCUUUCAGCAGGGACGAAGCGCAAGUGACGGUACCUGCAGAAGAAGCACCGGCCAACUACGUGCCAGCAGCCGCCGUAA
rnacentral:rRNA from 1 species